rnacentral:rRNA from 1 species
UACGAAGGGGCUAGCGUUGCUCGGAAUUACUGGGCGUAAAGCGCACGUAGGCGGCUUUCUAAGUCGGGGGUGAAAUCCUGGAGCUCAACUCCAGAACUGCCUUCGAUACUGGAAGCUCGAGUCCGGGAGAGGUGAGUGGAACUGCGAGUGUAGAGGUGAAAUUCGUAGAUAUUCGCAAGAACACCAGUGGCGAAGGCGGCUCACUGGCCCGGUACUGACGCUGAGGUGCGAAAGCGUGGGGAGCAACAGGG